UACGUAGGGAGCAAGCGUUGUCCGGAAUUACUGGGUGUAAAGGGUGCGUAGGCGGAACAGCAAGUCAGACGUGAAAACUAUCGGCUCAACCGAUAGCCUGCGUUUGAAACUGUUGUUCUUGAGUGAAGUAGAGGUAAGCGGAAUUCCCGGUGUAGCAGUGAAAUGCGUAGAGAUCGGGAGGAACACCAGUGGCGAAGGCGGCUUACUGGGCUUUAACUGACGCUGAGGCACGAAAGCAUGGGUAGCAAAC
rnacentral:rRNA from 1 species